rnacentral:rRNA from 1 species
GACGAACCGUGCGACCGUUGUUCGGAAUCACUGGGCUUAAAGGGCGCGUAGGCGGGCGAUCAAGUCAGGGGUGAAAUCCUCCGGCUCAACCGGAGAACUGCCUUUGAUACUGGUCAUCUCGAGUGAGGUAGGGGCAUGCGGAACUGAUGGUGGAGCGGUGAAAUGUGUUGAUAUCAUCAGGAACUCCGGUGGCGAAAGCGGCGUGCGGGACCUUUACUGACGCUGAUACGCGAAAGCCAGGGGAGCGAACGGG